ACGGGUGAGUAAUAUAUCGGAACGUGCCCAGUAAUGGGGGAUAGCCCCGCGAAAGCCGGAUUAAUACCGCAUACGACCUAUGGGUGAAAGCGGGGGAUCGCAAGACCUCGCGUUAUUGGAGCGGCCGAUAUCAGAUUAGCUAGUUGGCGGGGUAAGAGCCCACCAAGGCGACGAUCUGUAGCUGGUCUGAGAGGACGACCAGCCACACUGGGACUGAGACACGGCCCAGACUCCUACGGGAGGCAGCAGUGGGGAAUUUUGGACAAUGGGCGCAAGCCUGAUCCAGCCAUGCCGCGUGUGGGAAGAAGGCCUUCGGGUUGUAAACCACUUUUGUCAGGGAAGAAACGGCUCGUACUAAUAUUAGGAGCUAAUGACGGUACCUGAAGAAUAAGCACCGG
rnacentral:rRNA from 1 species